rnacentral:rRNA from 1 species
GAUGAACGCUGGCGGUAUGCUUAACACAUGCAAGUCGAACGGACUCUUCGGAGUUAGUGGCGGACGGGUGAGUAACGCGUGAGAAUCUGGCUUCUGGUUCGGGAUAACAGUGGGAAACGACUGCUAAUACCGGAUGUGCCUGCGGGUAAAAGGCUUGCUGCCAAAAGAUGAGCUCGCGUCUGAUUAGCUAGUUGGUGGGGUAAGAGCCUACCAAGGCGACGAUCAGUAGCUGGUCUGAGAGGAUGAUCAGCCACACUGGGACUGAGACACGGCCCACACUCCUACGGGAGGCAGCAGUGGGGAAUUUUCCGCAGUGGGCGAAAGCCUGACGGAGCAAUACCGCGUGAGGGAAGAAGGCUCUUGGGUUGUAAACCUCUUUUCUCAGGGAAUAAGAAAGUGAAGGUACCUGAGGAAUCAGCAUCGGCUAACUCCGUGCCAGCAGCCGCGGUAAUACAGAGGAUGCAAGCGUUAUCCGGAAUGAUUGGGCGUAAA